ACCUGGCUGGCUCAGUUGGUAGAGCAUGUGACUCUAAAUCUCAGGGUCCUGGGUUCAAUCCCCACUUUGGGCA
rnacentral:tRNA from 1 species